rnacentral:rRNA from 1 species
AUGGGAAACGAGUUAAUAUUCUCGUACUUGUACAUCUGUGCGAUGGAGGGACGCAGAAAGGUAGACAGGCCGGGUGUUGGUUGUCCCGGUGCAAGCAGGUAGACGUGUGGUACAGGCAAAUCCGUACUGCUCUACGUCGAGACGCGAGUCCGUGACCGUAAGGUCUGAAGCUGUUGAGCCUAUACUGCCUAGAAAAUCUUCUAAGUUUAGGAUGUGCAAACCGUACCGCAAACCAACUCAGGUGGGUGGGAUGAA